rnacentral:misc_RNA from 1 species
GAAGCUGAGAGGCUUGCUACAUGAGAUGCCUUGGGGAAAUAGGUUACAGUAUAGUCAAAUCACAAGUUGCCUUUUAGAGGGUAUAAGAUUUCUCCGGAGCCCCUUUUGGCCAAAACAGUUCCUUCUUCUGUGUCGAAUGAUGCUGGUGGGAUCCAUGGAAAGUGGUUUGGGGGACUCUUGUGAUGAGGAGCCAAAUCGUUGACAUGAUGAGUGGGGUUGUAGGUCCCCCCCCCCCCAACAGAAAGAAAGAAAAAAAAGGUAGAAAAAACGGUGCUUCCCACCCUCCCUUCAAGACGUUUUUCUACAAAUAAUUUUUUUUUUGAACAGUGUUUUCGUC